CUAAAAUGAAGGAACAGUUUACUCGGCCGUGUUGGGUGCUAGAGAUUUGGGGUUUUCGCUAGAAGAAAGUAGAGAUUCCGAAUUAGUUCCGAAUGGAGCCGCUUUUUUCGAUUUCGAUCUCGGAUAUUUUUAAAUUAAUUCGCGAAAAUGACGAAUUUUCGUAAAAAUUUUUGCCCUCUAAGAUGGUAAGUAACGGGUGCACAGACGUUUCGUGUCGAAAGAUGGGUCCGGAAAAAUGCCUAUUUUUAAUGGAUAAAGUUGGUUAGGAUUAAUUGAUGGCCGUGUAACCCUUCUCCGAGAACGAUAUAAUCGUUUGAAACAUACGUUACUUUCUAUUUCCGAACGGAAAUGUUUGAAAAAAGCGUAAGAAAAUGAUCAAUUUUUGACGUCUAUCAUCGAACAUUUCAAUCGCUGACAGUUGUCGUGAAAUGGAACAUUCCAUUUCGCGAAAAAGGGGCGGUCGCCCAAAGUUAAUUUGUCGUAAUUAUUGUGAGAAAUAUUUUUAAUUUCUGAUAUAAUUUAGAACGAAUUCAAUUGAUUUUUGAAUGGAAAAUCGAUUAUUAAUACGUUUUCAAAUUGAAAAUUUGCAUAUUUCACACCAAUCUUGAAAAUAUUUCAUAAUCAUCAUUUCGACACUGAGGGAGGUUCGAUGAAAUUUCAUAUGACAUUUCGAGAAAUCACUCUACAGUUGUCUACAGUGAUUCAGUUUUCAAACGAUUCCGUGGAGUUAUUGAAUGAAAUAUCGAUAAUUAAUUCGUUUUCUAAUCAAAAUAAAGUAUAUUUUACAAAGGAGAACACUAUAUCCACACAUAUAGCAAUUUGAACGUAUACGAAAAAUAAGGAAAUGCUGAAAUUGCUGGCAACUGAGAAUCUUAUAAUAUCCGAUUCAGAAGGUUCUAGGUGUCAACACCGAAGGCCCGACGAAAAAGUUGUUAUUCUUUGGCCCAACAUUCAAUAUAGGUGAAGGACAUCACAUUAUUUACGUAUUAAGCAUAUAUUCCCAAUGAAUUUAUCAUUCCAUAGUAGGAUUAUGAAUAUUAUGGAUCGUACAUGGUUAUAAUUCUUUGCCUAUGAUGGAACAUGAUUGAUAGAGGUUAUGUCAAAUUGGAGAAACUUGAUUUAUUUCACAAGUCGUUGUGUAUAA